rnacentral:tRNA from 1 species
AGGAUCUUAGUUUAUAAAAAACAUUUGAUUUGCAUUCAAAAAAAAUUAAACAAUUAAUAUAUCUUA